UAGACCCGAAACCGGGUGAUCUAUCCAUGAGCAGGUUGAAGCAAGGGUAAAGCCUUGUGGAGGACCGAACCAGUUCUGGCUGAAAACAGUUUGGAUGACUUGUGGAUAGGGGUGAAAGGCCAAUCAAACCCGGUGAUAGCUGGUUCUCCCCGAAAUAUAUUGAGGUAUAGCCUUGCGGAUUGUCUUAUGGAGGUAAAGCUCUGACAGAACUAGGGGUCCUAUCCGACUACCGAAUUCUUUCAAACUCUGAAUACCAUUAAGAUUUACCGCAGGAGUCAGACGGCGGGUGCUAAGGUUCGUCGUCAAAAGGGCAACAGCCCAGACCGACAGCUAAGGCCUCCAAAUGCAUGCUCAGUGGUUAAGGUGGUGGCGUUGUGCAGACACCCAGGACGUUGGCUUAGAAGCAGCCAUCGUUUAAAGAAAGCGUAAUAGCUCACUGGUUCAAUGGCGCUGCGCCGAAAAUGUAACGGGGCUAAGCAUGCUGCCGAAGCUUCGGAUUUGUCUCUGACAACUGGUAGGGGAGCGUUCUCUGCGGGCUGAAGCGGAACCGAAAGGUUUCGUGGACUGCAGAGAAGUGAUUAUGCUGACAUGAGUAACGAUAAAAUAUGUGAAAAACAUAUUCGCCGUAAAUCCAAGGUUUCCUGGGUAAAGGUAAUCUUCCCAGGGUUAGUCGGACCCUAAGGCCAGGCUGAAAGGCGUAGCUGAUGGGAAACGGGUUAAUAAUCCUGUACUUGUGCGAUUGUGCGAAGAAGGGACGCAGGAUGGUAGACAGGCCGGUUUUUGGAAUCCGGUGCAAGUGCGUAGGCGUGCUCCGCAGGCAAAUCCGCGGAGAUGAGCCGAGACACGAGUCCGUGGGCGCAAGCCCUGAAGCUGUUGAGCCACGGCUGCCAAGAAAAGCUUCUAAGUUUAGAUCGCGCGAACCGUACCGCAAACCAACUCAGGUGGAUGGGAUGAAUAAUCCAAGGCGCUCGAGAGAACUCUGGCCAAGGAACUCGGCAAAUUGACCCCGUACCUUCGGAAUAAGGGGUGCUCCCCACGGUGAGACAAAUUCUUGUUCAGCCCCGGGGAGCCGCAGAGAAAUGGUGGUGGCGACUGUUUACUAAAAACAUAGGUCUGUGCGAAGUCCUACAGACGACGUAUACGGACUGACGCCUGCCCGGUGCCGGAAGGUUAAAAGGAGGAGUCAGCGCAAGCGAAGCUCCGAUUUGAAGCCCCGGUAAACGGCGGCCGUAACUAUAACGGUCCUAAGGUAGCGAAAUUCCUUGUCGGGCAAGUUCCGACCUGCACGAAUGGCGUAACGAUCUCCACGCUGUCUCGGCCAGAGACUCGGUGAAAUUGAAGUCGCGGUGAAAAUGCCGUGUACCCGCAGAAAGACGGAAAGACCCUGUGCACCUUUACUAUAGCUUGACAUUGGGUUUUGAACCUGCAUGUGUAGGAUAGGUGGGAGGCUGUGAAAGCUGUACGCCAGUAUGGCCGGAGCCACCCGUGAAAUACCACCCUUGUUUGUUCAGGACCCUAACUCGCAGCUGUAAUCCAGCGCGAAGACAGUGUCUGGUGGGUAGUUUGACUGGGGCGGUCGCCUCCUAAAGAGUAACGGAGGCAUGCAAAGGUUCCCUCAGGCUGAUUGGAAACCAGCCGCUGAGUGCAAGCGCAUAAGGGAGCUUGACUGCAAGAGAGACAUCUCGAACAGAUACGAAAGUAGGUGCUAGUGAUCCGGUGGUCCCGAAUGGAAGGGCCAUCGCUCAUUGGAUAAAAGGUACGCCGGGGAUAACAGGCUGAUCGCAUCCAAGAGUUCACAUCGACGAUGCGGUUUGGCACCUCGAUGUCGGCUCAUCACAUCCUGGGGCUGAAGCAGGUCCCAAGGGU
rnacentral:rRNA from 1 species